CAGGGUAUCCUUUAAUCCUUCUUAGUUCAAUCAAAUGAACUAAAAUUUUAAAAUGAUAUAAUUUUUCAAUUAGUUCAUUUGUUUGAACUAAGUAGGGUCAAAGGAUAUCUUG
rfam:Brachypodium distachyon strain Bd21 chromosome 2, whole genome shotgun sequence.